AUGUUUGGGGAGCAGAGGGCAGGGGAGGGAGGCUGUCACACACAAAUAAAUCAUAAGGAGAAGCCAAUAAACCGCUGCAGAACGAGUAUGAAUGCUUUCUUGUGCCACGAAAUAUUAGGCUGUGCAAGUAAUCCGUACAGACGACGGACGCCUGGAAUGCGAAGCGGAAUCGAUGGCCAACUCGUGUCAAGCCGUCAGCUCCGCUGGCCCGAGGGACCGGUGUGUGUGAUUGAUGAGCGGGAAGCGCGAGGAGACCUGCGCAGAAUUAAUAUCGCGUGCACUACAAGUGCGCAUGCGCCGAUUUCCUUACGUCUCCUGUUUUCCCGUCAUAAAUGAAAGGCUCUCCUGAGAGAGCAUGGCCGGGUUCCUCACACAUCAGAUGAGAGACCUAAUAGGUGAGCAAACACACUGAUUACCCAGCCUGCUCUGCUGAGGUUACCUGUUUAUGAGUGUUUUUCUGUACCGCAUGCUUUUUUGCGCAAACAUUACGUGUAUCUAUUUAGUGUGUUGUUACUGAGGGAUUUAGAGCCAUAUGCUGGUGUCAUUUAUUUAGCUUUUUACUUCACUGCACAAAAUGAGCAUUCUUGUACCCUAUACAUGCAAGUUCUUAUAUCAUGCAUACCUUUAAGCACCUACAUUUAUAAGAUAAAAAUGCUUCCAUAGGAAGCAAAUUCUUGAGGUUCCUGAAGUGAUGCUGAUUGUAUCAGUGGGAUAAAACAAUGGUCUUUAGAAAAUGAAAACCACAGCACAUCCCACACACUUCACUGGUUUUUAUGUAACCGAGUUGAUCAGGUGGGGACAGCACUCUUAUUUCUAUUGUAGGUUUCAUAUCUUCCCUCCCAACUUGUUGAUAUCUCUUUCAUUCCCCUGCGCUGAUUACUGCUAACAAUACGUUUGAAUGCAAAGGUCAGUCCCAAACAAACAAAUUUCUGCCAAAACCAAAGGUACUCACUAGUAAACACUUUAUUGUAAACCGUUAAGGUUGCUUGAAGUCUGUAGAGAUAAUUUGAUCAUCUGUAAAGCAGGUCUGAACAAGCACAAUCAGAAAAGAAAGCGAGAGAAGGGGGUUUGCUUCCAAAUCAACUAACGUAGAUGUUGCCUAUGUAGGGAGCUCACUAAGUUUUGGAACGGAGCCAGCGUGACAUCAGCUAUAAGGUUUAAUAGAAUCAAAAAAAGAAAAGGCCGACCACAAACUCGUAUGCAAAUAUUAUGAUGAUGC
ensembl:lncRNA